CAUCGCCGCGGGAACACGUAGGUGGCAAGCGUUGUCCGGAAUUAUUGGGCGUAAAGCGCGCGCAGGCGGAUCAGUCAGUCUGUCUUAAAAGUUCGGGGCUUAACCCCGUGAUGGGAUGGAAACUGCCAAUCUAGAGUAUCGGAGAGGAAGGUGGAAUUCCUAGUGUAGCGGUGAAAUGCGUAGAUAUUAGGAAGAACACCAGUGGCGAAGGCGACUUUCUGGACGAAAACUGACGCUGAGGCGCGAAAGCCAGGGGAGCGAACGGGAUUAGAUACCCCCGUAGUCCCUGUCUCUUAUACAC
rnacentral:rRNA from 1 species